AUGGAGCUGGAACAGGGGAGGGUCAGGAUGGGUGUUAGGAAAAAGUUCUUCACCGAGGUAUUUGGGCACUGGGACAGGCUCCCCAGGGAAGUGGACACAGCACCAAGCUUCCCUUUCCUUUCUUUGCCUUUCCUUACCUUGCUUUGCCUUGCCUUUCCUUUUCAUUUCUUUCUGUCAGGCAGAACCACUGUCAUCCCUGGGGCUGGGCCUUGUGAGGAGGAUCUCAUCUGCGAGAAACUGGCUUGCCUUCCACCAGUGCAGCAUGGCAGGGUUCACGGAGCACUCAAAGUCCUCCUAUUUAAUUUAGCUGUGAAAAAGCAGAUGAGACAAGUUUGGAUCUCAACAGUAAGCAGAGCUCCCAUAUGAAGCACAAAUAUUUCACAAUGUUGUAAUUAGACUGCACUAAGGGAGCCCAGAAAUCCUCACAGAGUCUAAGUGAAGAAAAAUCUGUGGAACAUCUUUCAUCCUGAGCCACAUGGUGCUGGCCUCCUCAGAGAAAGAGUGAGAUGCCUGGGGAUAUACAGUGCAAGAACGCCUUCCAAUGCUCUUAUCCAAUUUUGAGAAGAACAGAGGGUGACAAUAUCUAGAUUUGCCAGUAUUGCCCCUUUCACUUACAUAGCCUAUCUGAGCAUAAUCUGUUCUUUGAAAGCAGAAGAAAGCACUAUUGGAAAACUGGGGAUUUAACGAAAUUGAAUGAUAAUUUCAAAAGCUCAUUUAGAAGGGCUUACCUGUAGUCUCUUCAUAACAGUUGCAAGAAGGUUGUUCGCAAUAGGUUGAAAUCAUCCUGUCUGAAGCAUGUCACUUAAUGUCAAUGCCUGUACAGCCUUUAUAUUUACCUGUACAUACUGCAUGGAUAGGGACUAACACAUUCCGGGUCCACAAACCAGUCUCAUUGGAAAGUGGGAGGAAGAUUUAUUUUUCAAAUAAAAUAUAAUAUUAUGAGGGUAGGGAUCUUUAU
rnacentral:lncRNA from 1 species